rnacentral:rRNA from 1 species
UACGGGGGGGCAAGCGUUGUUCGGAAUUACUGGGCGUAAAGGGCUCGUAGGCGGCCAACUAAGUCAGACGUGAAAUCCCCAGGCUCAACCUGGGAACUGCGUCUGAUACUGGUUGGCUUGAAUCCGGGAGAGGGAUGCAGAAUUCCAGGUGUAGCGGUGAAAUGCGUAGAUAUCUGGAGGAAUACCGGUGGCGAAGGCGGCAUCCUGGACCGGCAUUGACGCUGAGGAGCGAAAGCUAGGGGAGCAAACGGG